GGUUGGAUUUUAAGCUGGCCCUACACGCUGCAUUCAUGUAUGCGGCUACAAAUGACAGCUACAAAUUUCCAUUGUUCUCGAUCUGUCAGCUCGUCGCCGCUCGUAACCCGAUGUAUGCGGGUUACGAGCGGCGACAAGUGACGUAAAUUCCACCUGCUAUGUUUACAUUACUGUUUCAAGUGUUGAAGGGAGGGAUGAUCAUCGAAUUCAAUUUUUAAAUUUGAGUAAAAUAAAAUUAAAAUUACGUGCUUAUUUAAGCUACUGAUAAAAUAAAUACAAAUUAUUAAAAAUAUAUUUAUGUAAUGUUUUAUUUGAGGGCAAUAAUAAUAUUGAGAAUAAAAUGAGGCUUAAAUAAACGUAUACGAAAACAAAAAUGUUGGAUACAUUAUGUGGGGAUGUGUUGGUAUUGUGUUUGGAGAUUCCUUGGAAGUUUUCAGGCGGACAUUUUCGAUUAGCAGUCAACCACUCCAGCACUUAACAAUGGAAGGAGCUAAAACCGUCCAAAAAUCGAAUAAAAAUGUAAGUUACACCUUUUCUCAUAGAAUGACACACUAAAUUAUUGGUUGUUUUAUUAUUUUAGCCUAUUCAAGAUGAGGAAAAAGUCAUCGAAUUGAUUAAUUUGGUAAAAACUUAUCCGUGCAUCUGGUUAGAUACUGAUCGCCAGUAUAAAAACACCGAAAUAAGGCAUCAAGCCUGGCAACAGAUACCAUCCGUGCUGGAGGAGGAUCAUCAGUGCGUUCAUGCUAAAUGGAGGAAUUUAAUGAAUUCCUACCGGCGGACUAAAAAGGAGAUCGCUUUGAGUCAGACAACAGGUUCCGGUUCCAGCGAGCUAUUGAAGGAGGUUUGGUAUGCCUACGAGCAUAUGUCGUUUUUACAUGAAACGACAGCUCCACGUCGUACAAUCAAUACUGCAAAUCUUGAAGGAACUUCUCGGGAACCUGUUGUUAUCUCGACCGCUCCUGCAACCACCGCUUCAUGCAGUUCAACUGCCUCAACAACAGCCACGACAACUGCCACAACAUCCUCCACUGGCUCCUAUAGUGGCAUGCUAGAGGGUCGCACAGCGUCCAAAGGACGCAAAAGAAAGUUUAGCGAAACGACUCGAUCAAGUCAGAUUAGCGAAUGCUUGACAGCCAUUCAAAGCAUUGCUAAUACUGCUACUGCUGCUGCACCUUGUUCAAAAGCCAGGGCUCUGGGCAACUUUGUAGAGGCACAAGUUGCCACCUUCGAAGACAAACACCCAGAGUUCUGUGCUAAACUUAUCAGGUCCAUAACGACGGUCAUGAAUGAUCAAAUUGAUCAAUUUUAUGUGGACCAACAUGCCU